rnacentral:lncRNA from 1 species
AAGAGCAACAUCAUUUGGAGGCAGUUUGAUGGGCAUGAGCCUGAGAACUACUGGUACAGGGUCUGCGAGGGGCGAGCUGCCAAGGUCAUCCAGAGGCCUUGGUAUGCUAUCUGGAAGUCCAAGAGGCUGAUGAACAUUGUAACUGAGAUCGCAGGCAGGAUGGAUUGGGACUAUGAUGGUUUGCAUGUGGUCCGAGGGUGGAAGGCAAUGAAUAAGAAGAUGUAUCCGAACUUGGACGCGGACACAUCACCCGACGCGAUUGUAGAUAAGGUGACCAAGCUUAUCAAGCCGUGGCGGAACCUCUACAUCGCAACCAACGAGCCAUUUUACAACUACUUCGACAAGCUCAGGUCACACUACCAUGUGCAUUUGCUUGAGGAUUAUAAGGAGCUUUGGUCGAAUACGAGCGAGUGGUACAACGAGACGACAGCGAUCAAUAGUGGGAAGGACGUGCCGUUCGAUGCGUACAUGAAGGUGAUUGUGGACACCGAGGUAUUCUACAGAUCAAAGGCGAAGGUUGAAACGUUUAACAACCUGACGAGAGAUUGCAAAGAUGGAAUCAACACGUGCAAUUUGUGACACAUGAGUUCAUGGUGUGAUAAUUAUUGGUGUCCAUAUACUCCCAGUGGCUGGCGCAAUGGAACUUGGGCGGACUUCAUCCAGGGUUUGUCAUAUUGGGCAUAAUAUCUUGAUGCCGCUUGUCAUAGCAUGCUCAGUUGAUUGUAUUACAUGUGCAUCUAAAUUAUGUGCCCUCCAUUCUUUUUGUAUAAUUUACCACUGUGCUCAAACCUGCAAAAUCCAAAUAGUAACACUCAGUGAGCCUUUUGCGGUGUCUCUACUUCUUAGUGUCUGGACUUCUGCAGUAUCUCUGAGUCCCCAUUGGUUAGCUUGGGGUUUCUCUUCAUUUAUUGUAUGUUUCCAUAUGUGUGUUGCUAAAUAUUCUCUAGUCGGAAAUGAACUUUCAGAAAAUUAUACAUUUUACUGUCAAAAGUUAGAACAGAGGUCACCAUGGCCAUCAGAUUACCAUGUAUGCCGUGUUUGUUGUCAUAAGUAACUUACUU